CCGUCCGAGGUUUUCUUCAUUGGUGAUUUGCGAUGAUGGCUUUUCUUUUCUUCACUAGUGAGUUGCGAGUGUCGGCGGUGACGGGACUGUCAGCGAUCGUUGGCGACGGUCGGAGGGCGGAGUUAUCGUUUGGACGGUCGGCUGUAGCGCUCUGAAAGCGGCGGUUGCGUUGCAUGUCGGUGGUGGUCUGUGGGUUGCAAUCUGAACGUGUUUCAAUGCCGGAUCGUGGUGAAGGGCUUCGACGGCGUCGCAAUUCCGGUCCGGCGACGGAGGGCUCGGUUCCAGCGAAAAAGCAGCGGGGGCACCUUCAGUGGGAUGUUUGUCUCGGGGUGAGAACGACGAUGAUGAUUUUGAAGAUGGUCCGAAUGUCGUUAGGGAGGCGCCUUGCCGGGAUCCUUCGCCCGAUGCUCCGGACAUUGAGUUAACUGUAGAACAGCGGACAACGUUUCCUACUGUUAGAGUUAGGGUUUCACAUGCUUAUUUGCACCGUUGCCGUGCAAUAUUACUCUUAUGUGCCUAGUAUUAUUUUAUAUUUUAUUUAACUAACUCGGUUUAAA